UGAACCUUUGCUAAUGACUGAUGGUGUCAGAGUCAAGGAUGAUGAAUAACACUUGUUUGCAUAUCUGAGGUCCAG
ensembl:snoRNA